CCUACGGGGCGCAGCAGUGGGGAAUAUUGGACAAUGGGGGGAACCCUGAUCCAGCGACGCCGCGUGAGUGAAGAAGUAUUUCGGUAUGUAAAGCUCUAUCAGCAGGGACGAAAGAAAUGCCGGUACCUGACUAAGAAGACCCGGCUAACUACGUGCCAGCAGCCGCGGUAAUACGUAGGGGGCAAGCGUUAUCCGGAUUUACUGGGUGUAAAGGGAGCGUAGACGGCGAUGCAAGUCUGAAGUGAAAGGCGGGGGCCCAACCCCCGGACUGCUUUGGAAACUGUAUGGCUGGAGUGCAGGGGAGGUAAGUGGAAUUCCUAGUGUAGCGGUGAAAUGCGUAGAUAGUAGGAGGAACACCAGUGGCGAAGGCGGCUUACUGGACUGUAACUGACGUUGAGGCUCGAAAGCGUGGGGAGCAAACAGGAUUAGAUACCCGAGUAGUC
rnacentral:rRNA from 1 species